GGGUGCGGCCGAGGGCCCCGCCCCCUUCUUCGCCUUGAGUUGCUCUGGGCGUGCGUUCGGGGUGCUGGGGUGUGGAGGUGGCGGCCUUCGCGGCGCCUGUGGUGGGUGUCCGGCGGGCUGGCCGGUGGACGGGCUGCGUGGGCGUCAGGGGCGAGAGUGCGGCCUGCGAGCCGUGGGUGGUGGCAGGCGGGAGGCGCGAGGCGCGCCGGGACCCCGCGGUUUUCCGCCGCCCCGCCGGCCCCUGCUGGCGCUUUGACUCCCAGCUUUGCUCUGCUUAAUGAAGGGAAAUUGAGGGUGGGUCGGAAGUUCAGGGGAGUCAGCUGUUUUUUCUCCUUGAUAGCUGCCCCUCAUCUCCAAACCGCUGAGAAUUUGUACUUACUUCCCCUGAAACGGUGGGCCUGAGACCCACCUGAGUAUUUGAGGGGAGGAAGGGGUUCAGUUGAAGCAUGGAAAAAAAAUUGCAAGCAUAUUUGCGUACUUUUUAAAAGAUUCUCAGAUCACUAAGUUAAGCAUCUGGGGUCAUGACGUUACACCUGGAGAGAGGAGAAUGCAGCCCUAGCACUCCAUGGCCCCUGCAGGGCAGUGAAUGCUGUUCUCCACAGACAAUAACAAAAUAAAUACUGCUCAUGAGUUGUGGCUUUUACAGUUAUUGUGCAGACCAAACACAGAAAUUCUAAAAUAGGGUGACAGACCGGAAGGUCAAUGUUUUCAACCUUGAUGAAAUGGGAAAGGUACAGCUGACAGAAGACAGCUGAUAGUAGAAUGACAGCCAGCAAAUGUAGAAGGAAUAAUGGUGUUAGAAGUAAAAGGGGAAGGGCCUUCCCUGGUGGUGCAGUGGUUAAGAGCCCGCCUGCCAAUGCAAAGGACACGGGUUGGAUCUCUGGGCCAGGAAGAUCCCACAUGCAGUGGAGCAACUAAGCCUGUGCGCCACAACUACUGAGCCUGUGCUCUAGAGCUGGCGAGCCACAACUACUAAAGCCUGUGAGCCAUGACUACUGAAGACUGCACACCCGUAGCCGGUGCUCUGCAACAAGAGAAGCCCCCACAGUGAGAAGCCCGUGCACCACAACCAGAGAAAGCCUGUACGCAGCAGCGAAGACCCAAUGCAGCCAAUAAAUAAAUAAAUAAACUUAUUUAAAAAAAGUAAAAAAGGAAGGGAGGGUAAGCUCACAAAUCCUUUUCUUCUGAAUCCAGGCAUACUAAAAGGAAGAAGAAUUCCUCUGUAUGGAAAAAUGACAUUUUUAAAUAUCAAACCCAUUGCUUGGGCAUUUUCUAUGAUAACAUUAGGGACUGAAAUGCUAAAUUCUGUCUUCAGUUUCUACUAUGUAAAGCUUUUUUUACAUCUAUACAAGAUUUCAGAAGUGGCCUUUUACCAAGCCCAGAUGAUUUUAAUGAUCUGGAAUGCUCUUAAUGACCUGACCGGGUAUUUUCACAACAACUCUAAGGCUGACUGCUGUUCCAGUCGUCACCGUUCUGUUUUGUAUGGUGCCCCUUUAUAUGCAAUAGCCUUCCUGCUUCCCUGGUUCCCUUGGAAAUACUACCAGGAAGGUGACUGGCUGAGUGGGCUUCACCUGGUGGUGUCAUUAUGUGCUUUUGAUAGCACGCUGACCUUUGUUCAGCAG